CCCAGCGUUCAGACUACCUGUUC
rnacentral:ncRNA from 2 species